UGAGUAGGAGAUGCUACGGCAUUGAAGCAGUCUAUGUCAUACUUCCAAGAAAAGCUCGCAAUGUCGUCAUAAAUAAUAAAUGCCUGUACCAUAACCGACACAGGUGGGUAGGUAGAGUAUACUAAGGGGCGCGAGAUAACUCUCUCUAAGGAACUCGGCAAAAUGACUCCGUAACUUCGGGAGAAGGAGUGCCUUAUUUAUAAGGUUGCAAUAACAAGAUCCAAGCAACUGUUUACCAAAAACACAGGUCUCCGCUAAGUCGUAAGACGAUGUAUGGGGGCUGACGCCUGCCCAGUGCCAGAAGGUUAAAGAAGUUGGUUAGCUUCGGCGAAGCUGAUGACUGAAGCCCUGGUGAACGGCGGCCGUAACUAUAACGGUCCUAAGGUAGCGAAAUUCCUUGUCGGGUAAGUUCCGACCCGCACGAAAGGCGUAAUGAUUUGGAUACUGUCUCGGAGAGGGGCUCGGUGAAAUAGACUUGUCUGUGAAGAUGCGGACUACCUGCACCUGGACAGAAAGACCCUAUGAAGCUUUACUGUAACUUGAGAUUGAAAUUGGACUUUAUUUGCGCAGUAUAGGUGGGAGACGUUGAGAAUGUUCUUGCGGGAAUAUUGGAGUCAUCAGUGAGAUACCACUCUUGUAAUGUUAGAUUUCUAACUUUGUAUCAUUAUCUGGUCAAAGGACAGUUUCAGGCGGGCAGUUUGACUGGGGCGGUCGCCUCCCAAAGGGUAACGGAGGCGCACAAAGGUUUCCUCUGAACGUGUAGAAAUCGUAUCUAGAGUGUAAAGGCAUAAGGAAGCUUGACUGUGAGACCUACAAGUCGAGCAGGGACGAAAGUCGGUCUUAGUGAUCUGACGGUGCUGAGUGGAAAGGCCGUCACUCAACGGAUAAAAGUUACUCUAGGAUAACAGGCUGAUCUCCCCCAAGAGUUCACAUCGACGGGGAGGUUUGGCACCUCGAUGUCGGCUCAUCGCAUCCUGGGGCGGUAGUACGUCCCAAGGGUUGGGCUGUUCGCCCAUGAAAGCGGUACGCGAGCUGGGUUCAGAACGUCGUGAGACAGUUCGGUCCAUAUCCGGUGUAGGCGUUAGAAUAUUGAGAGGAGCCUUCUUUAGUACGAGAGGACCGAGAAGGACAUACCUCUGGUGUACCAGUUAUCGUGCCAACGGUAAACGCUGGGUAGCUAUGUAUGGAGUGGAUAACCGCUGAAAGCAUCUAAGUGGGAAGCCCACCUCAAGAUAAGUAUUCUCAC
rnacentral:rRNA from 1 species